AACCCACUGAGCCACCCAGGUGCCCCUGUUGUUUUAUUUUUAACACUUUCUCAAAACACGGCUGUUGGUGAGCCUUUUAACUACUCCGUGCCAGUAGUCUCCCCACUGAGGAAGGAAGGUGUCAGGCGUACACAGAGCAGGAGGAGAAAGAAUUCAGCUGCAGCCUCCAGCUGGAGACCAGAGCUCUCCCUACCACCUCUGCAUCUGAGAGGCGAAGCCCUUGUUCUCUGGGUGGGAACAGAUUCUGGGGAACAGUGUGCCGGACAGGGAAAUAGAACCACCUUCCCAGUUUUUCCUGAACUGUGAUACUGAAGCCUGCUUUGUCUCUGUUUGAUUGCAAAUACAGCUUGGUGAAUAACAAAUCCCAUACUCAAAAUGAUGGUAAAGUGAGUGGGCAACCUUUUGAUUUUAAAGUAGACUAUAAAACAAUCAAACUGUCUUACAAUCCAAAGUGUAAAAUUAGAAACUGAAAUUCCAAGCUCAGUGUCAGUCUCAACCCAUCUAACUCCAUCCAGUAAGUGUAAUGGUUCAGAAAUGAGGCCGCUGCCAGCGCCCAAGCAGGGCUCCAUUCCAGCUUCUGCCCACCCGGGCCCAGCACACUUAAGGAGGCUUUAUGCGCACUGUGUCAUUUCACAAACAAGAAGAUGCCAACUGCAUAUUCAUCGCAUCCUGGAUGAAUGAUAUGUAAAAUACAAUAAAAUCUUAUCGUUUUGAGUAGAAUCAAGUGUGUGGGGGGGGGAUUUUACUUUUCACGUUGCGUCCCCAAGCCUCUGUCUCACUGAUGGGAUGUGCAUACUUCUUUUAGGCAAGUAGGAAGAAGGAGGUUCUUGGCUGCCUAAAAUGAUGCCCUUCAAACAGUUUUGCUUCUUAGCAGGAGGAAAAGAGCAAAUUAGGAUGAAGGGAAGAUUGCCCAAGAAUUCCAGGAAGAGAAGCAAAAAGCCUGGAGCGCAAGGGCCAUGAUGUUUACAUGUUAGUAUUUGAAGUUUACAACUUGAUAUCUGACCUUCCAGAAUUCCUGGGGGUUCUGCUGAGAUUUUGACCAGGAUGAGGCUGUACUUCUGAAGACUUGCUGGAAUGGCACCGGUCGCCACUGACCUGGCAUUUUCUGCCUUUGCUGAGAGCCAAGGAAUGGAGGCCAAGGGGAAACAAAGGCUCAGCCUCAGUAUCUUCUGUAGCCAUUACUCGUUCCCGAGCCUGGUGAGUGGGUGGUGAUAUUUAAGGCUGAAAGAAAGAAUUCUCCUAAGUCAGCAUGCGUUUUCAUUCCCAUCUCAACCCCAUCCUGUAGCCACUGCAGUAAAAAUACAAGACUAAUGGUCUGACAUUUCACAUCCUGCCUGGCUGAGGCCGUAGGCGCCCACAUGCCUGCUGGUAUUUUGGGUUUUGCCUCACAGAGAGCAGGCUAACGUGUGCUGCUCACUCCUGCAUUCUGCUUCUGAGAAUAGGAUCUUUCAGCUGUCAAAGACUGGUUGUUAGUCUUAAACCUUUUUAGCUCCUCGGCCAAAUCCAGGGUCAGUGGGUCAAAAUUACAGACUGCAGAAGGUCAAGAGAAAAAUAUUGCUAGAGGCCACCCUUUACACCAGCUCAGCCUUGCCAGAAUUCUCUUCGGGUGUGAAGCCCUUAUCUCUGUUCUGUCACUUCAAGACUCCAACUUUUCCAUUUUAUCAUAAAUGUCCUCUGUAUCAGUGAGGCUUCUAUAACUUAUUUCAAAACUAGAAUUGCUAGUCUUUGGAACUCUUCAAGUCCAUUCUCCCUUCAUUCCUAAAGCCAGUUCAAAACCCCUCCUCGGGGCAACUCCCUGCUUGGCCUUACCUGCCAGCCUUCAUUCGGAUAUGGCUCUGGAGUGCUCAUCCUUACUCUGUUUGCACUGGUAGCUCGGGUUACACUGGAGUGACAAUUGGGGGAUGCCCUGACCCCACUUCCCUUGGCCUGGAAGGCAGCCCAGCCUGGGACCUGGGCCUGGACUUUUAUCUUCAUGGCCUCCAAUGUCCUGUGCGACCUUGGGUGCCUUAGUUAACCUCUCUGAAUUCCUGUUUCCUCUGGAGGAGUUUCCAAGCUCCAAUGUUCCUUCAUCCCUGCCCUACGGCCCAUGGGAAGAGGAUCGUACAGAGUAAUGGAACUUGGGCCUGAACAGGAUGUUCGAGGUAGGGAGUGGUUCCCAGCACUUCAUUAUCUCCCCUACUCCUACCUCUGUCCUUUUCUGUGUGAACUAGCACAAGACUGUUGUCCCCUCUGGGCUUCCUUUUGCCCACCGGAAAAUGACUAGGACGAGGGCGAGGUAAAUUCCCAUGCUGUGGGGUUUAGACAUUCAUAUCCAGGCGGCCAUCCCCCAGGCCUCUGAGACCAUGGACCACCAUGACUUCGACCUCUUUGCCAGUGAGAGGGUGUCUGACCACAUGGUUCUGCCAAGAAUGAGAAUGGUAACCUGCUAUCUUCAGCCAGCCACUAUACAUUGGCUUGUAUGAGAACAUCACCAUGGGGACCUCUGUGCUGAUAGUCCUGCUCCAGACCUCAUGUGAAACCUUGGCGCCUGCUUGCCUUGCCUUUGCUGUUUGCUGGUCUCUACCUCACCUCUGAGAGCCUUCAUUUCUCAUCUGCAAAAUGGGCAUGAGACCUCCCAAGGCUGCUGAAUGUUGGAUGUGAAAGCAUCCCCUGGGCAGUCCCUAUCCACCAUCAUGCCCCAGUCUUCCCCAUGUGCUUCCAGAACUCCUAGCAGGAAGCAAGUUUUGUGGCCUCUCCGACCACCCUGCCAGGCCUGGUCUCCCCUGUUCCUGCCCUUGACCGGGAUCAGCCUGGUCUUCCCACCGCCUUUGCUGCAUGAGAAGCUAAAGUUAUAGCUGUCUGCUCAGGGACUGUGAAAUUCCUUCUCCCUGGCCUUUUCCAGGAUGUUAUUAACAUGCUUCAUGGGGAGGAAAAAAAUGUCUGGGAAUGGGUGGAAGGUCUCAAAUAGACAAAGCUUAUAUUUUGUCCCAGAGAAGGCUUUAUGGAUGCCCAUGGCUAGAAAAUGUUUCCUUUUGCCACAAAAAGGGAGAAGGUGGUCCAGGUUCCUGUCCCUCACCCCCAAAGUGAGGCCCUGCUUGUUCUCUCUUCUGCCAUGGUGAAAAGUGUUAUCCGCCGCGUUUAAAACCAGACAACGACUGAAGAUUUGUAACAUCGUAAAACCUUGGUGAACAGCACAAUAUAUUGAUUAGCUGGACUUUUUCUUCCUUGCUUGUAUUCAGACAACUCGAAUAGCAGGGACUAAAGAGAGUACAGGGACACAAACUCUCCCUCACUUCAUCUUGCCCACGGCUGCCUCCGGGUGCUGCAAGUGAGCUCCCUUGGAGGACUAACCCCCACACCCCAGGAUCUCCUGGCAUUCUGAGUUGGGAAGAAUGUUCAAACUGUUUUCCCUUAUAUGAAUUAGGGACACAUGGUUCAGAAUUCCAAAUGUAUAAAAGGGCAGAGGGCACAGAGUUCUCUGUAGGAUACUGUCAUGGUGGAUACAUGUCAGUAGACAUUCGUCCAAACCCACAUCACGGACACCGAGAAUAGACCCUAAGGGAAACUGGGCUCCAGGGGAUGGUGACGUGUCAGUGGCUAGAUAUCAGUGGUAACAAAUGGACACCUCUGGUGGGAAGUUGACGUUGGGGGAGGCUGUGUGUAGGUAGGGGCGGGGGUAGAUGGUAAAUGAGCACACUCUGUAGCUCUGCUCAAUUAUGCAGCAAACAGAAAACAGCUCUAAAAAAAAAAGUCUACUUAAAAGAAGGAAAGGGUACAGAGUGAUAUGUUCCCAGUUCCCUUUUUGGAGGCAACCAGUGUUAACAGUUUUUUAUCAAAGGUAGAAUUUCUCUCUCUGGACUCAGCUGAGCUGGGCCUGGAUGUAGCAGAGGCUCAGCUAAGGAGGGAGGGGCGAGGGACUUCUCUCUGUGUUUGCCUCCUGGGGCAUCUAAUCCAAAAGAAAAGGCCCAGCCACUUCCCAGACAUCACGCCGGAUUCCUAGGGCUUUGGGGUGGGUAAUGAGGUCUGAAAUAGAGAGGAGCAAAAGAGUUGAGUGUCUCGGUGUCCCCACCCACAAAACAAUGUCUGCUUGGACAGGCUGCCUCUCAAGGGUCUCCUGUACUCCAGUUCAGCCUGAGCUCAGUGGAGAAGGAACACGAGGAAGGAAGAGAGCUGCUUGCUUUGACCUAAGUUUGGUGCUUGGGGGUGGGAGAGGAGGGGCUGGGGACAGAACUGGCCUCAAGUGACUCAGGAGGUCCACGCCCCAACCCCCUGCGACUUGGCUAACCCCAUGCCCCAGCGCCCCUUUGCCCCUUCCAAGGGUUGGGAGAAAAGGUCUAGUGUGGUUGAGGAUAGGCACAGGAACAUGAAGGAAAGGGAGCUACACACCAGACACCAUUUCCAUGGAUUUUACCUUUAGGAGUGUGGAUUUUAGGAUGCAACUCAGUACAUUUUCUAUGUGAGCUAGCACAAGACUGUCCCCUCUGGGCUUCCUUUGCCCACUGGAAAAUGGACUACAAGUGAGGUAAUUUCCAGUGCUGUGGGAGUCAGGCAGGUAACGGGAAGGAAGGCCAGCGAGGCGAACCAAGCUUGAGCUUCUAAAGGCGGCAGCUGCCUCUCAGCUCGGGACAAUUGCCAUGGGGGAACGAGGUUUUAUUAACCGAUUCAUUAGAAGGGCUGAGCUUGAUAGCACAGGAAAAAAGAAGUGGCUGUUUCCUUCUAGGUCUUUCUUUGGCAGAACUCUGGAUUCCCCUGUCCACCUUUUGAUGAUGUCUUGGGCCAAGAGAUCAGAUUCUGGGACUUUCUGAUCAAGUGCCCAAAAUAGGAACAGAUUCCCUUUAAAAUUAGAAUGUCCUUUUAGGUAUAAAAAAUGUUGCCAUUUAAAUCAAAACUUGAAUCCCAAAUAUAAUUCAAAACUUCAGCCCACCAGCUAGGCCACCGCUUCUUUCAGUUCUCCCCCGGACCACCACCCCCAAUGCUUCCCUCUUCCCCAGUGGUCGGCUCUUCUAGAAGGUGGGGCAGGGGGUGCAGAGACUGGAAAGGUAGACAGGGCAGAUGCAGGCCUUCUGUGACUAUUGUCCUCUCGCUAUUGGCAUGGCUUGCAACUGAAAUGUGGGUGUACUCACAUGCUGUUCUCAGCUCUGCGACUUCGUGACUAUCCAAUAGCAAAUCACACCAUGAAUCUGAUUUUUAAGUCAAAUUUGUGUAUGUCAGCGCAAAAUUACCCAACACUCCUGCGCCGAAUCAUUCUUGUCCGUGGGCUAUCAAUAGAGGGCUGACUUACAACAGGUUUGAAGGUCUCUUCCAGUCAUUGUCAUCUGCAACGUUAUAAUUUUCUUAGAUUGAGUAAGAACCACUGGAAGUCAUCCAGGCUUUCCCCUUAGAGACAGGGAACACUCCUGUUCCCCUCUAGGCCUCCUGGAAAUGAAUUCUCCUGGACGGACACCACCAGAAUCCUGCAGAAACAAGACCUGAAGGGAAGGGCCAGCAGGUGGCAGGAGAGAAUAGCAUGGGUCUCAGCUUCUGUCCAGUUGUGGUUCCAGCUGUCAACUUAUUCAGCCUCUAGCUUUCCCUCACGGGCAUUCAUGCACAGAUUUCAUAGAAUGAUGGACUUUCAUAGAAACAUGUGCCGGGGAGUUUGGAAGGGACCUUGAAGGUCACCAAAGCCGACGGACGUCUUUGUGCCCUUUACGACAUCCUGUUACAGAACUCCUUCAGUGUCAGCAUGAAUGCAUUCAGAGACAGGAAGCUCAGUACUUUCUAAAGCCAUUUGUCCAGGAGCACCUGGAUGGCUCUGUCGGUUAAGUUUCUGACUUUUGGUUUCCGCUCAGGGGCAUGAGAUCGAGCCCC